AGUGGGAUCAUCGCUUCUGUUCCAUAAGUCAGAUUGAAUGAUGAUUUUUCUGUUGGUAUGCAAGGAGUUGUUCGAUAUGUCCAUAAGAUCGGAUAUAGUUCUUCCACCCAGAGGUCUUUAGCUUCAUUCAGUCUGAUUUUGAGUCCAUGUAAGAUUAUUCAGUUUGUCACUUCCACUUCAUCGUUGGAUUGUGGAUGGCCG
rnacentral:lncRNA from 1 species